GAUGAACGCUGGCGGCGUGCCUAAUACAUGCAAGUCGAGCGAACGGACGAGAAGCUUGCUUCUCUGAUGUUAGCGGCGGACGGGUGAGUAACACGUGGAUAACCUACCUAUAAGACUGGGAUAACUUCGGGAAACCGGAGCCAAUACCGGAUAAUAUAUUGAACCGCAUGGUUCAAUAGUGAAAGACGGCUUUGCUGUCACUUAUAGAUGGAUCCCCGCCGCAUUAGCUAGUUGGUAAGGUAACGGCUUACCACGGCAACGAUGCGUAGCCGACCUGGGAGGGUGAUCGGCCACACUGGAGCUGAGACACGGGCCGGACUCCUACGGGAAGCAGCAGAAGGGAAGCUUCCGGAAUGGGCGAAAGCCGGACGGAGCAACGCGGCGGGAGUGAUGAAGGUGGGGGGAUCGUAAAACUCUGUCACGAGGGAGGACCAAAUGUGUACGUAACUAUGCACGCGUAGACGGUACCUAAUCAGAAAGCCACGGUUAAAUAGGAG
rnacentral:rRNA from 1 species